rnacentral:lncRNA from 1 species
AAAAUUCAAACCCUAGAGACCCAUCUCUUCAUCUCUCCUCUUUCUCAAGCCGCCGCCCGCCGCCCCUAUUCUGCCUGCCGGAAAUCGCCACCGCCGGUGGACGAACUCCAAACACCACCAAAAUUUCACCCCCUACUCAUCUCAACCUCCUCUUUUCGAAUCCAACACUCAAAUUUCCUAAAUCUCUAUCCAUCCACACGAAUCCCAUUUUGGCCGAAACCCUAGCCCCUAUUUCUUUUGAAAUUGGUCAGCUUCUAGCCAUCCUCAUUCCAUAAUACACACACAUUUGGAUAGAUCUCUAGGAGAGCUAUUGAUUUUAUGUCAGUUUUGGUUCCAAACUCCGACCACUAUUUUCCGGCAAGCUUACUGGUGACCACCUGUCCGCGAAGGGUCUGUUUUAAGCCAUUUUUCCGACUCAGGCGAUUGUUUCUUUUUAGCACGACGCUAAAAUCCAAUGGGUCCAGCGUGUACUAAAAAGAAAUGCCCGUUUCGAGGUUGGACAGCCACUAUUCGUCGCCCCCGGCAUCCGUCUCGUUGCUCGAUUUGACAUCGAAUCCCUCUGUAUGGUAAAACAUCAAUUUCCUUUCCUUAUUUUUAUCUUUUCUGAUUUUUUGCUUUUGUUUUAGUAUUAGUUCUAAGGUUUAAUCUCCAUUAAUGUUUCUGUUAUUUAUGUGCAAUGAGUAUAAAUUUUUAAUUAUACUUUCACUUUAUAAAUGUGAAUUUUUGGUUCUUCGACCUAGCCGGUCGACUAUUUUGUGUGAAUUUGAUUAAGCUUGAACUUUCAGUUCUUCGACCUAGCCAGUCGACUAUUUUUGUUUGUCCGUUAGUUCUGAUCUUUGGUUCUUCGACUUAAUCGGUCGACUAUUUUGUAUAGAAUUGUUAAGUCUGAAUUUUCAGUUUUUUGACCUAGUCGGUCGAAUAGUUAAGUCUUUAUGUUAAUUUCAUGAAAAAACCAAAAGAUUAGUUCAAUUGUUUAUAUAGUUAGUUGUAUAUUUAGUUGUUAUUAAUUGUGAUAGUUUAGCGAUGUUCGUUUAAUUUCUGUUUCAAGCAAUAGUUUGUGAAAUUCAGUUGUUGUUCCAUGUUGGUUUACACAAAUCGAAUUCAUUCUAAUCUAGUUUGUCUGAAUACUUAGUUCGAUUGCAUUUUGAGUCUUGUUUCUACUUUGCUAGUUCAUAUUUGGUUGGAGUUUGAGUGUAUAAGCUGAAUUUCAGUCAUGAAUAGAUAAAAGCUGAAAACUUGAGUUUAAAGUACGUGUUUGUUGGGUAUUUUACUGUUUAAACAUGCUGAAAAUGCAAAUGCUCUGUUUUGUGUCAGAAUUUGGUGAAAAAAUGACUGUUUUGGCACAUAAAAGUCAGUCCUUUUGGACAGAUUUUUGGUGAAUCAAAAUCUGUCCAAAAGGACUUAUUUUUCCUACUUAAAGAGGCCAUUCUUUCACACUUGAGGAGUCGAACAUACUUAGCCAUCACCCUUUACACUCGAAGAAAACACAAAACUUUGAAGAAAGUCAGCAGCUGAACAUCAAAAAGUAAGCUGAAAAAAAACUGAAAGUUUGUGAGUUCUUUCUUCAUUUCCUAAGUCGGUGAGCGUUUGGUUUGAGUUUCUGGUUCGUAUCGGCUUUAAAAUAUCGCUGUUGUUUGGGCUGUUCUGUUGUUGUUCCUUCUUUGCUGUUGAAAGUUUGCUGUGUUCGUUGGUCGGCUUUUUCGAAGUUACAUCUUUGCUGUAGUUUGAUUUUCUGCCAUUCAGGUAACUUUUAAACCUAUUGUAGUGCAAAUUCUCAAUGUCGAAUGUGGAAGGUGCCAACCUGCCUCCAUUAUUUGAGCAUGCUUUUUGUGACUUAAUGAAGAAAUGAGUGUUUGAAUAAUGCAUGUAUGUUUCCGGUGUACAAAAUCUGGAAUAACUUAUUUAAUACUUUAACUUCUCUUUACAUUUUGGGUGAAAUAAUAUUUUGUUAGUCUGCUAGUUGUUUUAAAACAUAUCAUAUCACAAGGUUUCGGACUGUUAUAGAGUUGGUCUCUUAAGAUUAUCUUUUUUUUUCGCUAUCCACGUUUAUGUGCAAGUAGAGAAUCGCAUAUAGUGAUAAAAGAAUCGAUUUUCUGAUGUCACUAAACCGUGGAUGCAUCUUUUGUUCUCUCUUCUAGUUAAAAACUUUUGCCAUGUUAGUUAUUAUUUGUUGUUUUUUUUCUUCCAUUGCUAUAUUGGACUACAAUGUGGAGGCCAUGAAUUUUCUUCAGUUUGCUAUAGGCUUUGGUAGUAAUUAAUAAGUUUAAUCCUUUUUUUUAUCUCCUCCAUGCCAAAACAGAGAAGUUUUUCCCUUUAAUCCUUGCUAAUUUGUCAAAAGAAUAAAAUAUCAUUAGAACAGUGGCUCUUUGUUUCUUCAUGAUCAAUGUCUAUUACUUAAUAAUUAAUAAUACUUAAGAAGAUUAGGCCAAGUGUCAGUAUGCUAGAUAAAUUUUGCUUGCAUGUAUGGUUAUCCUGAUGUUGAAGACAAUGUAAAAUAAAUGCUUACACUAUACAAGUUAACACUUUGUAUCAUUGCAACUUUAAUUUAGCUUCGGAAGUUUAGCCCCAAAUGCUUGUCUGUGAUUUAUAUCUUACACAAAGUUUUGGGAUAAUUAAGUUAGUGCUAGAAUGCUUGGUUUUAGGUGACAUGAUUUUCUAAUAGAUUAAUGAUUUUGUCAAAUAAACUUGUAUUCAAAUUAAAAGUUUUUGGAGUAUGUUAUUAAGAAGUAAAGGGUGGUCGGUAACUGAAGGAUUGGGGUAUAAUAUAUUUUCA